CCCGCUGAACUUAAGCAUAUCAAUAAGCGGAGGAAAAGAAACCAACAGGGAUUGCCCUAGUAACGGCGAGUGAAGCGGCAACAGCUCAAAUUUGAAAUCUGGCCUCGGCCCGAGUUGUAAUUUGCAGAGGAUGUUUCUGGCGCGGUGCCUUCCGAGUUCCCUGGAACGGGACGCCACAGAGGGUGAGAGCCCCGUAUGGUUGGACACCAAGCCUGUGUGAAACUCCUUCGACGAGUCGAGUAGUUUGGGAAUGCUGCUCUAAAUGGGAGGUAAAUCUCUUCUAAAGCUAAAUACCGGCCAGAGACCGAUAGCGCACAAGUAGAGUGAUCGAAAGAUGAAAAGCACCUUGAAAAGGGGGUUAAACAGUACGUGAAAUUGUUGAAAGGGAAGCGCUCAUGACCAGACUUGUGCCGGGCGGUUCAUCCGGGGUUCUCCCCGGUGCACUCCGCCCGGUUCAGGCCAGCAUCGGUUCUCGUUGGGGGAUAAGAACGGUAGGAACGUGGCCCUCCCUCGGGAGGGUGUUAUAGCCUGCCGUACGAUACCCUGACGGGGACCGAGGUUCGCGCUCCGCAAGGAUGCUGGCGUAAUGGUCAUCAGCGACCCGUCUUGAAACACGGACCAAGGAGUCGUCCAUUAGAGCGAGCGUUUGGGUGUAAAACCCGCACGCGUAAUGAAAGUGAAAUUAGGUGAGAGCUUCGGCGCAUCAUCGACCGAUCCUGAUGUUCUCGGAUGGAUUUGAGUAAGAGUUUUAACGGACGGACCCGAAAGACAGUGAACUAUGCUUGUAUAGGGUGAAGCCAGAGGAAACUCUGGUGGAGGCUCGCAGCGGUUCUGACGUGCAAAUCGAUCGUCAAAUAUGAGCAUGGGGGCGAAAGACUAAUCGAACUGUCUAGUAGCUGGUUACCGCC
rnacentral:rRNA from 1 species